CUGCCAUAUCAUAUUGAAACACCAGUUCCCAUAUGAUCACCAAAGUUAAGCAAUGCUGAGCUUGGUCAGUAUCUAGAUAGGUAACCACUUUGGAAUACCAGGUGCUGUAA
rnacentral:rRNA from 1 species